rnacentral:rRNA from 1 species
AUUGAACGCUGGCGGCAUGCUUUACACAUGCAAGUCGAACGGCAGCGCGGGCUUCGGCCUUGCGGCGAGUGGCGAACGGGUGAGUAAUUCAUCGGAACGUGCCCAGUCGUGGGGGAUAGCCCGGCGACAGCCGGAUUAAUACCGCAUACGACCUGAGGGUGAAAGCGGGGGACCGAAAGGCCUCGCGCUAUUGGAGCGGCCGAUGUCGGAUUAGCUAGUUGGUGAGGUAAAGGCUUACCAAGGCGACGAUCCGUAGCUGGUCUGAGAGGACGACCAGCCACACUGGGACUGAGACACGGCCCAGACUCCUACGGGAGGCAGCAGUGGGGAAUUUUGGGCAAUGGGGGCAACCCUGAUCCAGCCAUGCCGCGUGCGGGAAGAAGGCCUUCGGGUUGUAAACCGCUUUUGUUCGGGAAGAAAUCCUCUGGGCUAAUACCCCGGGGGGAUGACGGUACCGGAAGAAUAAGCACCGGCUAACUACGUG